CAGCCGCCGCGGUAAUACGGAGGGAGCUAACGUUGUUCGGAAUUACUGGGCGUAAAGCGCGCGUAGGCGGUUACUCAAGUCAGAGGUGAAAGCCCGGAGCUCAACUCCGGAAUUGCCUUUAAGACUGCCGAGCUAGCAGGUGAGAGAGGUAAGUGGAAUUCCGAGUGUAGAGGUGAAAUUCGUAGAUAUUCGGAAGAACACCAGUGGCGAAGGCGGCUUACUGGCUCAUACUGGACGCUGAGGUGCGAAAGCGUGGGGAGCAAACAGGAUUAGAUACCCGUGUAGUCCCUGUCUCUUAUAA
rnacentral:rRNA from 1 species